rnacentral:rRNA from 1 species
ACUAAUAAUGGGAUUAGUUUUUUAGCUAUUUAUAGCUAAUUAACACAAUCCCGGGGCGUUCUAUAUAGUUAUGUAUAAUGUAUAUUUAUAUUAUUUAUGCCUCUAACUGGAACGUACCUUGAGCAUAUAUGCUGUGACCCGAAAGAUGGUGAACUAUACUUGAUCAGGUUGAAGUCAGGGGAAACCCUGAUGGAAGACCGAAACAGUUCUGACGUGCAAAUCGAUUGUCAGAAUUGAGUAUAGGGGCGAAAGACCAAUCGAACCAUCUAGUAGCUGGUUCCUUCCGAAGUUUCCCUCAGGAUAGCUGGUGCAUUUUAAUAUUAUAUAAAAUAAUCUUAUCUGGUAAAGCGAAUGAUUAGAGGCCUUAGGGUCGAAACGAUCUUAACCUAUUCUCAAACUUUAAAUGGGUAAGAACCUUAACUUUCUUGAUAUGAAGUUCAAGGUUAUGAUAUAAUGUGCCCAGUGGGCCACUUUUGGUAAGCAGAACUGGCGCUGUGGGAUGAACCAAACGUAAUGUUACGGUGCCCAAAUUAACAACUCAUGCAGAUACCAUGAAAGGCGUUGGUUGCUUAAAACAGCAGGACGGUGAUCAUGGAAGUCGAAAUCCGCUAAGGAGUGUGUAACAACUCACCUGCCGAAGCAACUAGCCCUUAAAAUGGAUGGCGCUUAAGUUGUAUACCUAUACAUUACCGCUAAAGUAGAUGAUUUAUAUUACUUGUGAUAUAAAUUUUGAAACUUUAGUGAGUAGGAAGGUACAAUGGUAUGCGUAGAAGUGUUUGGCGUAAGCCUGCAUGGAGCUGCCAUUGGUACAGAUCUUGGUGGUAGUAGCAAAUAAUCGAAUGAGACCUUGGAGGACUGAAGUGGAGAAGGGUUUCGUGUGAACAGUGGUUGAUCACGAGUUAGUCGGUCCUAAGUUCAAGGCGAAAGCCGAAAAUUUUCAAGUAAAACAAAAAUGCCUAACUAUAUAAACAAAGCGAAUUAUAAUACACUUGAAUAAUUUUGAACGAAAGGGAAUACGGUUCCAAUUCCGUAACCUGUUGAGUAUCCGUUUGUUAUUAAAUAUGGGCCUCGUGCUCAUCCUGGCAACAGGAACGACCAUAAAGAAGCCGUCGAGAGAUAUCGGAAGAGUUUUCUUUUCUGUUUUAUAGCCGUACUACCAUGGAAGUCUUUCGCAGAGAGAUAUGGUAGAUGGGCUAGAAGAGCAUGACAUAUACUGUUGUGUCGAUAUUUUCUCCUCGGACCUUGAAAAUUUAUGGUGGGGACACGCAAACUUCUCAACAGGCCGUACCAAUAUCCGCAGCUGGUCUCCAAGGUGAAGAGUCUCUAGUCGAUAGAAUAAUGUAGGUAAGGGAAGUCGGCAAAUUAGAUCCGUAACUUCGGGAUAAGGAUUGGCUCUGAAGAUUGAGAUAGUCGGGCUUGAUUGGGAAACAAUAACAUGGUUUAUGUGCUCGUUCUGGGUAAAUAGAGUUUCUAGCAUUUAUGUUAGUUACUUGUUCCCCGGAUAGUUUAGUUACGUAGCCAAUUGUGGAACUUUCUUGCUAAAAUUUUUAAGAAUACUAUUUGGGUUAAACCAAUUAGUUCUUAUUAAUUAUAACGAUUAUCAAUUAACAAUCAAUUCAGAACUGGCACGGACUUGGGGAAUCCGACUGUCUAAUUAAAACAAAGCAUUGUGAUGGCCCUAGCGGGUGUUGACACAAUGUGAUUUCUGCCCAGUGCUCUGAAUGUCAAAGUGAAGAAAUUCAAGUAAGCGCGGGUCAACGGCGGGAGUAACUAUGACUCUCUUAAGGUAGCCAAAUGCCUCGUCAUCUAAUUAGUGACGCGCAUGAAUGGAUUAACGAGAUUCCUACUGUCCCUAUCUACUUCAAUCCCUUCAGUGUGGAACACGCCACGUAAAAUAAGUUCGGAGGGAUCCGAAAAGCAUACAUUGUCCCUAUCUACUAUCUAGCGAAACCACAGCCAAGGGAACGGGCUUGGAAUAAUUAGCGGGGAAAGAAGACCCUUUUGAGCUUGACUCUAAUCUGGCAGUGUAAGGAGACAUAAGAGGUGUAGAAUAAGUGGGAGAUAUUAGACCUCGGUUUGGUAUCGUCAAUGAAAUACCACUACUCUUAUUGUUUCCUUACUUACUUGAUUAAAUGGAACGUGUAUCAUUUCCUAGCCAUUAUACGGAUAUAUUUAUUAUAUCUUAUGGUAUUGGGUUUUGAUGCAAGCUUCUUGAUCAAAGUAUCACGAGUUUGUUAUAUAAUCGCAAACAAAUUCUUUAAUAAAACGAUGCAUUUAUGUAUUUUUGAUUUGAAAAUUUGGUAUAACUCCAAUUACUCAGGUAUGAUCCAAUUCAAGGACAUUGCCAGGUAGGGAGUUUGACUGGGGCGGUACAUCUCUCAAAUAAUAACGGAGGUGUCCCAAGGCCAGCUCAGUGCGGACAGAAACCACACAUAGAGCAAAAGGGCAAAUGCUGACUUGAUCUCGGUGUUCAGUACACACAGGGACAGCAAAAGCUCGGCCUAUCGAUCCUUUUGGUUUAAAGAGUUUUUAACAAGAGGUGUCAGAAAAGUUACCAUAGGGAUAACUGGCUUGUGGCGGCCAAGCGUUCAUAGCGACGUCGCUUUUUGAUCCUUCGAUGUCGGCUCUUCCUAUCAUUGUGAAGCAAAAUUCACCAAGCGUUGGAUUGUUCACCCAUGCAAGGGAACGUGAGCUGGGUUUAGACCGUCGUGAGACAGGUUAGUUUUACCCUACUAAUGACAAAACGUUGUUGCGACAGCAUUCCUGCGUAGUACGAGAGGAACCGCAGGUACGGACCAAUGGCACAAUACUUGUUCGAGCGAACAGUGGUAUGACGCUACGUCCGUUGGAUUAUGCCUGAACGCCUCUAAGGUCGUAUCCGUGCUGGACUGCAAUGAUAAAUAAGGGGCAAUUUGCAUUGUAUGGCUUCUAAACCAUUUAAAGUUUAUAAUUUACUUUAUAAACGACAAUGGAUGUGAUGCCAAUGUAAUUUGUAACAUAGUAAAUUGGGAGGAUCUUCGAUCACCUGAUGCCGCGCUAGUUACAUAUAAAAGCAUUAUUUAAUACAAUGACAAAGCCUAGAAUCAAUUGUAAACGACUUUUGUAACAGGCAAGGUGUUGUAAGUGGUUGAGCAGCUGCCAUACUGCGAUCCACUGAAGCUUAUCCUU